UGGCUCCUUGGUCAAGCGGUUAAGACACCGCCCUUUCACGGCGGUAACACGGGUUCGAGGCCCGUAGGAGUCAU
rnacentral:tRNA from 1 species